rnacentral:rRNA from 1 species
GACGAACGCUGGCGGCGUGCUUAACACAUGCAAGUCGAACGGAAAGGCCCUGCUUGCAGGGUGCUCGAGUGGCGAACGGGUGAGUAACACGUGGGUGAUCUGCCCCUUACUUUGGGAUAAGCCUGGGAAACUGGGUCUAAUACUGGAUAGGACCAUGCUGUAGGUGGUGUGGUGGAAAGAUUAGUUUCGGUAAGGGAUGAGCUCGCGGCCUAUCAGCUUGUUGGUGGGGUAAUGGCCUACCAAGGCGUCGACGGGUAGCCGGCCUGAGAGGGUGGACGGCCGCAUUGGGACUGAGAUACGGCCCAGACUCCUACGGGAGGCAGCAGUGGGGAAUAUUGCACAAUGGGCGCAAGCCUGAUGCAGCGACGCCGCGUGGGGGAUGACGGCCUUCGGGUUGUAAACUCCUUUCAGCCAUGACGAAGCCCUUGUGGUGACGGUAGUGGUAGAAGAAGCACCGGCUAACUACGUG